rnacentral:lncRNA from 13 species
CUCACACUCCAAUUCCAAUCGACCUGACCAGCAGAAGAGACAAAAAGGGAAAAUCCUGGCCGGGUCUCCCCUAUGUGAGCUACCAGUAACAUCAUCAGAUUUGCAAGACCUCAAGAAAAGAAACCUGAAAAUGCCUCUGGAGGUGUGUGUUUUGCCAAAUGAAAAAAGAAUCAAAAACAAAACCUGUGGAAUGAAGACAAAGAAAUAAAGAGCAGGUUAAAGUCAAGUUUCUCCUGCUUUGGGCACCUUCAAAUAGAAGACGUUUCUGCUUCUCUUGCUUCUGAGAACCCACGAAAUCAACACAUCCCCAAAAGACGCCUUGAGGAACGGAAAGUGUCCUGCACCCCCAACCCUCCCGCACUAAGAGCGGCGGAGGAUCCCACCGCUUCGCACUUCCCUGGAGGGACUCCUGGAUUAGGAGGUGCCUUCUGGUCUGGAAGAGUAUUCCCUCGGCUGGGCGCACGCAGUCCAUCCCCAAUGCUCCAACUUGAAAACUUGGAGUUGGCCACGACUACCCCAUUCCAAUCUCACCCCACGGCGCUUUCUCCCCUCUUGGUGCUGAGAGCUUUUGAGACCACCUGCCCUGAGGUCCCUACGUCCGAGGGACCCCGGCAAGGACCUGUCCCGCUGAGCCCGCCUGACUUACGCGGCGCAGUCGGUGCUUCUCCCUGA